GAAUAUUGGACAAUGGGGGAAACCCUGAUCCAGCAAUGCCGCGUGAGUGAUGAAGGCCCUAGGGUUGUAAAGCUCUUUCGGUGGUGACGAUGAUGACGGUAACCACAGAAGAAGCCCCGGCUAACUCCGUGCCAGCAGCCGCGGUAAGACGGAGGGGGCUAGCGUUGUUCGGAAUUACUGGGCGUAAAGCGCACGUAGGCGGCCUUUCAAGUCAGAUGUGAAAGCCCCGGGCUUAACCCGGGAACUGCAUUUGAAACUAGAAGGCUUGAGGCCGGGAGAGGAUAGCGGAAUUCCCAGUGUAGAGGUGAAAUUCGUAGAUAUUGGGAAGAACACCAGUGGCGAAGGCGGCUAUCUGGACCGGUACUGACGCUGAGGUGCGAAAGCGUGGGGAGCAAACAG
rnacentral:rRNA from 1 species